rnacentral:tRNA from 1 species
UGGAAGCCUGGGCUACGGGGUUGUGUCCCAGGCUGGAAGCCUGGGCUACGGGUUGUGUCCCAGGCUGGAAGCCUGGGCUACUAU